UACGUAGGGUGCAAGCGUUAUCCGGAAUUAUUGGGCGUAAAGAGCUCGUAGGCGGUUUGUCGCGUCUGCCGUGAAAGUCCGGGGCUCAACUCCGGAUCUGCGGUGGGUACGGGCAGGCUAGAGUUCGGUAGGGGAGACUGGAAUUCCUGGUGUAGCGGUGAAAUGCGCAGAUAUCAGGAGGAACACCGAUGGCGAAGGCAGGUCUCUGGGCCGAUACUGACGCUGAGGAGCGAAAGCGUGGGGAGCGAACAGG
rnacentral:rRNA from 1 species